rnacentral:rRNA from 1 species
AAUAGAUACCCAGGUAGUCCACGCCGUAAACUAUGGAUGCUAGCUGUUAUCGGUAUCGACCCCGGUAGUAGCGAAGCUAACGCGUUAAGCAUCCCGCCUGUGGAGUACGAGCGCAAGCUUAAAACAUAAAGGAAUUGACGGGGACCCGCACAAGCGGUGGAGCGUGUUGUUUAAUUCGACGGUAAACGAAGAACCUUACCCAGGCUUGAUAUCCUGCCAAGUUUUGCGAAAGCAAAAUGUGCCUUCGGGCCGCAGUGACAGGUGAUGCAUGGCCGUCGUCAGCUCGUGUCGUGAGAUGUUUGGUUAAGUCCAUCAACGAGCGCAACCCUUAUGGUCAGUUGGAUUUUUCUGGCCAGACUGCCCCGGUAACGGGAGGAAGGAGGGAUGAUGUCAGGUCAUUAUUUCCCUUAGUCUGGGGCUACAAACACGCUACAAUGGCCGGUACAAAGGGCAGCCAACCCGCGAGGGGGAGCAAAGUCCCAUCAAAGCCGGUCUCAGUUCGGAUUGUAGGCUGAAACUCGCCUGCAUGAAG